UACAGAGGUCCCGAGCGUUGUUCGGAUUCACUGGGCGUAAAGGGUGCGUAGGCGGUCGGGUAAGUCUGACGUGAAAUCUUCAAGCUUAACUUGGAAACUGCGUCGGAUACUAUUCGGCUCGAGGAAUGGAGGGGAGACUGGAAUACUUGGUGUAGCAGUGAAAUGCGUAGAUAUCAAGUGGAACACCAGUGGCGAAGGCGAGUCUCUGGACAUUUCCUGACGCUGAGGCGCGAGAGCGUGGGGAGCAAACGGG
rnacentral:rRNA from 1 species